AAAGAACAAGCCACGGCUAACUACGUGCCAGCAGCCGCGGUAAUACGUAGGUGGCGAGCGUUGUCCGGAAUUACUGGGUGUAAAGGGCGCGUAGGCGGGGAUGCAAGUCAGAUGUGAAAUUCCGGGGCUUAACCCCGGGGCUGCAUCUGAAACUGCAUCUCUUGAGUGCUGGAGAGGAAAGCGGAAUUCCUAGUGUAGCGGUGAAAUGCGUAGAUAUUAGGAGGAACACCAGUGGCGAAGGCGGCUUUCUGGACAGUAACUGACGCUGAGGCGCGAAAGCGUGGGGAGCAAACAGGAUUAGAUACCCUGGUAGUCCACGCCGUAAACGAUGGAUACUAGGUGUAGGAGGU
rnacentral:rRNA from 1 species